UACGUAGGGUGCAAGCGUUGUCCGGAAUUAUUGGGCGUAAAGAGCUCGUAGGCGGUUCGUCGCGUCGGCUGUGAAAACCUGAGGCUCAACCUCAGGCCUGCAGUCGAUACGGGCGGACUUGAGUACUGCAGGGGAGACUGGAAUUCCUGGUGUAGCGGUGAAAUGCGCAGAUAUCGGGAGGAACACCGGUGGCGAAGGCGGCCUGCUGGACAGCACCUGACACUGAGACGCGAAAGCGUGGGUAGCAAACAGG
rnacentral:rRNA from 1 species